rnacentral:piRNA from 1 species
UUAUUGAUUCAUUUUAACGCA